rnacentral:rRNA from 1 species
UACGGGGGGGGCAAGCGUUGUUCGGAAUUACUGGGCGUAAAGGGCUCGUAGGUGGCCAACUAAGUCGGACGUGAAAUCCCUCGGCUUAACCGGGGAACUGCGUCCGAUACUGGUUGGCUUGAGUUUGGGAGAGGGAUGCGGAAUUCCAGGUGUAGCGGUGAAAUGCGUAGAUAUCUGGAGGAACACCGGUGGCGAAGGCGACGUCCUGGACCGGCAUUGACGCUGAGGCGCGAAAGCCAGGGGAGCAAACGGG